GUCGGCCCGGCCUCACCGCGGGGCCGCCCGUACUCUCGUUGCCCCCAGGACGGCACACCGCAUCCCCGCCGCACAGCCACACGGCUCAACCCCGACGUGCUUCCGCUGCCCCUGUGGGAAAGGCCCCUUGAGGUGUAGCCAAGCCUGCGGUGGUAACGGGAGGGCACGCAGCAGAGGAGGAGAGAUGUGUGUGAUGGCGUCUACCUCCGCAGUCACUGACCACAGCUCUACCCGCUCCGUGACCGGGUUUGACUUUGCAGGAGCAGAGCGUGAAGGGGCUCGUUGGGAAUGGGCAGUGGAGCCGGGCUGUGCUGCGUGAGAGGCGGUGGGCGGAGGAGAGAGCCUGCCUCACUUAAAUCCUCACACUGUCACCGCCGAAAUGUUGCUGCAGAGACCUCGGAAUUCCCCGAGCAUUUGAUUUCAAGGGGUUAUUUCACAGGUAAGGAAUGCAGCCCUCUGCCUCCAUCGCACAUCUCCUUCCCCCACCAGGGGCCGGCCAGCCGCUCUCCUUGCCAGGCUGCGGUCCUGCUGAGGGGCUCAGUGCCACCCGCAGCUCCUAGGAAGCCUCACCCAGGCACUGCACGCAGCCCUUCCAUCCCUGCCCCACACCGCAGUGCGCCGAUCGCCACCCGGAGAUGCCUACAGAGCCUCCCAGCUACACGUCUGCGCUUGGAGUGCCCCAAUUACUGCGUGCAUGGGCAGAUCUGGGCAGUGCUAUGGGUGUACCUGCAUUC
ensembl:lncRNA